rnacentral:lncRNA from 1 species
AGCUGGAAACAUAGGGCGAUGGAACCAUGGAAUUGUAGAAUCAUAGAAUGGUUUGGGUUGGAAGGGACCUUAAAGCUCAUCUCGUUCCAACCCUCUGCCAUGAGCAGGGACACUUUCCACUAGACCAGGUUGCUCCAAGCCCCGUCCAACCUGGCCUUGAACACUUCCAGGGAUGGGGCAGCCACAGCUUCUCUGGGCAACCUGUGCCAGGGUCUCACCACCCUCAAAGGAAAGAAUUUCUCCCUAAUAUCUAAUCCAAGUCUCAGAAAGCAGGAAUGGUUCUGGGGUAUGAACAGGACCUUCUGGGCUUUAUGGUGUGUUGUGAGUAAGGGCUUUUUUUGCUUUUUGAGGGCAAAUCUUGCAGAGUCCAUCUGAGGCCAGACACCAACACUUUGCUCUCCACAGCGAGACUGAGACUGUUUCACACUGUCAGAAGUUUUGUUAACUUAAAUACAUAAUCCUUAUUAAAGGGUUAUGAUGAAAUUGGAUAUAAACUGCUCCAUUAAGUGCAGCAAACUUCCUUCUGGGGAUGAAGUGAUUCUCCUUCUCUGUUUUCCUGUGGGACCCAGCCGCCCAGUCAGCUGUGUUACUGUGGAGAAGAGAGUGGCUUGUCUGAUUCACGAUGGCAAGCUCCAUGCCACAACUGAAAGCCCAGGGAAACGAAUCCCAGUUUGUGCCCUGAAGCAGCUGUCCCAUGAUGCUUGGCAGGCUUAAACCCAGACUCGAACUGCACACGGAGGAGACAGACACCGCACACAACGGAGGAUUUCCACGACGAUGGUAAUGCUCGUUUUACAUCUUAUUGCUCCAGAAAGGCUCCGGGAGCCUGUGAUAUGUGAAGGAGCUGGGUCCUGAGGAGUAAAGGAAGACCACAGGGGUAACUCUUAUCUGUCACUAGCACUGCUGAACCUCAAACACGGCAGCAAGGGGAUAUGGGGAAGCUAGUCUAACCCCUCUAGGCUAGAGCCACCUCUGCUUUUCUCCCCAUGGACCAAAGCUGGCCGGGAAAUCCCCGUGACACCUGCAUGAUGCCGGUGGUGUCAGCCUUGCUGCAGGCUGGUGCAGAUAACAUGUUUCCCAAUCCUCCUGAGGCUUGGCUUGUUCCCCCCACCCACCCCACAUCCCUCUUGUAAACAGCAAAGUCAGAAGUAAACAGUUUCAUACAAUCACUCCCCUGGCGUGGGCACCGGCUGGGGCCGCAUGAGCCCAGAGGGCGACAGGGUUCUGCAACAGGGGCCUUGGCUCCCCCCACACUGACCAGGUACCCCCUACCUGGAUGCCCAGCUUCACUGCAGCCACAAAAGACAGAGCCAGCCUGGCCCAGGCUGGCUGCAGGCUUGGUGUUGCUUUCUUAAGCUCAGGUUUUCCCAGCGGCGCAUCCUAAUGCCAAGAACAUCCACAGCAGAGGGUGAAGUUCAGCCUGCAGGAGUUUAGGCAGGUGAGGUCAGAUAGACCCACCUGGCAAGAGAAGCCUAAACAUCCUCUAUCCCACAGCACAUGCAUGUUUGGCUGUUCCCUGUUCCCAGCUUGUUCUAGAGGGAGUGCUGGUCUGGACCAAAGUAACUGGGAGGAGAGAUGUGGGGAACUGUAAACACAAGGCAAGUUCCUGUAUAGUCUGGGGAGUUGAGCACAAACAGCAGCAAAAUCAUCAGGGAGAAAUGCUCUUAAAAGGACAAACUAAUCAGGGAAACAUCCACGUUGGCCAAAGGCUAGC